AUUGAACGCUGGCGGCAGGCCUAACACAUGCAAGUCGAACGGUAGCACAGAGGAGCUUGCUCCUCGGGUGACGAGUGGCGGACGGGUGAGUAAUGUCUGGGGAUCUGCCCGAUAGAGGGGGAUAACCACUGGAAACGGUGGCUAAUACCGCAUAACGUCGCAAGACCAAAGAGGGGGACCUUCGGGCCUCUCACUAUCGGAUGAACCCAGAUGGGAUUAGCUAGUAGGCGGGGUAACGGCCCACCUAGGCGACGAACCCUAGCUGGUCUGAGAGGAUGACCAGCCACACUGGACCUGAGACACGGUCCAGACUCCUACGGGAGGCAGCAGUGGGGAAUAUUGCACAAUGGGCGCAAGCCUGAUGCAGCCAUGCCGCGUGUAUGAAGAAGGCCUUCGGGUUGUAAAGUACUUUCAGCGGGGAGGAAGGCGAUGUGGUUAAUAACCGCAUUGAUUGACGUUACCCGCAGAAGAAGCACCGGCUAACUCCGUGCCAGCAGCCGCCGUAA
rnacentral:rRNA from 1 species